UACGAAGGGUGCGAGCGUUGUUCGGAAUUACUGGGCGUAAAGCGCACGUAGGCGGAUCUAUAAGUCGGAUGUGAAAUCCCCAGGCUUAACCUGGGAAUUGCAUCCGAAACUGUAGACCUUGAAUGCUUGAGAGGAUGACGGAAUUCCUGGUGUAGAAGUGAAAUUCGUAGAUAUCAGGAGGAACACCGGAGGCGGAGGCGGUUGUCUGGCGAUGCAUUGACGCUGAGGUGCGAAAGCGUGGGGAGCAAACAGG
rnacentral:rRNA from 1 species